UGGGAACCAAAAAAAGAUAAGACAAUUCUAUCUCAUCUCUCUUUUUAACAAAGAUCAAUUUUCUGAUACUAUGCCCUAGUUGUUACCUCAGGCCAUCCCAGGCAAUUCCCAUAGAUUGGCUUGUUGAAAUCCAUCCCAUUUCUCAACUGGUCACCUUGCUGAGCCAGGUCUAAAUUGUGGAAGGACACAGGGCCGUCUCUGCAGCCUCUCCUGUUCAUCAUACUGAAUGAAACGCCUUGUGAUGUAGAUAUUCUCAAACUUCCCAGUGCGAGAACCCAAAAACCGUCUCAUGAAGAGCCCAGUGCCAAGGAGGACAAAGAUCACGAUUCCAGUCCCGGCUGUGAUCAGGGCAUUUCUGCCUUCACGCAGACCACAGGAGAGAAGGAAAAGAACACAGAAGCAGCGCACAUGCUUG